AGAGUUUGAUCCUGGCUCAGGAUAAACGCUGGCGGUGUACAUAAGACAUGCAAGUCGAACGGGAGAAGACUGGAAGAUUUAUCUACUAGCUCGGACACCGUGGCGGACGGGUGAGUAACACGUAAGCAACCUGCCUAUAAGAGGGGAAUAACAGUGAGAAAUUACUGAUAAUACCGCAUAAGCUGGAGGUAUCGCAUGAUACAAUCAGAAAAGAUUUAUCGCUUAUAGAUGGGCUUGCGUCUGAUUAGCUAGUUGGUGAGAUAACAGCUCACCAAGGCGACGAUCAGUAGCCGGAUUGAGAGGUUGAACGGCCACAUUGGGACUGAGACACGGCCCAGACUCCUACGGGAGGCAGCAGUCGGGAAUAUUGCACAAUGGAGGAAACUCUGAUGCAGUGACACCGCGUAUAGGAAGAAGGUCUUAGGAUUGUAAGCUAUUGUCGUGUGAGAAGAAAAUGACCAUCACAGGAGGAAGCCCUGGCUAAAUAUGUGCCAGCAGCCGCGGUAAUACAUAUGGGGCGAGCGUUAUCCGGAUUUAUUGGGUGUAAAGGGUGCGUAGGCGGGAAAAUAAGUCAGUAUGUGAAAUCCCUCGGCUCAACUGAGGAACUGCAACUGAAACUAUUUUUCUUGAGUGUUGAAGGGGAAAGUGGAAUUCCUAGUGUAGCGGUGAAAUGCGUAGAGAUUAGGAGGAACACCAGUGGCGAAGGCGACUUUCUGGGCAACAACUGACGCUGAGGCACGAAAGUGUGGGGAGCAAACAGGAUUAGAUACCCUGGUAGUCCACACCGUAAACGAUGGAUACUAGGAGUUGGCAAAAAUAUUGUCGGUUCCGCAGUUAACGCAUUAAGUAUCCCACCUGGGGAGUACGACCGCAAGGUUAAAACUCAAAGGAAUUGACGGGGGCCCGCACAAGCAGUGGAGUAUGUGGUUUAAUUCGAAGCAACGCGAAGAACCUUACCAGGGCUUGACAUAUACAGGAAUAUAUAAGAGAUUAUAUAGCUCUACGGAGUCUGUAUACAGGUGGUGCAUGGUUGUCGUCAGCUCGUGUCGUGAGAUGUUGGGUUAAGUCCCGUAACGAGC
rnacentral:rRNA from 1 species